UGCUCUCUUAUAUUCGGUGUUGGCAUUCUC
rnacentral:piRNA from 1 species